rnacentral:rRNA from 1 species
GAUGAACGCUGGCGGCGUGCCUAAUACAUGCAAGUCGAGCGAACAGACGAGGAGCUUGCUCCUCUGACGUUAGCGGCGGACGGGUGAGUAACACGUGGAUAACCUACCUAUAAGACUGGGAUAACUUCGGGAAACCGGAGCUAAUACCGGAUAAUAUAUUGAACCGCAUGGUUCAAUAGUGAAAGACGGUUUUGCUGUCACUUAUAGAUGGAUCCGCGCCGCAUUAGCUAGUUGGUAAGGUAACGGCUUACCAAGGCAACGAUGCGUAGCCGACCUGAGAGGGUGAUCGGCCACACUGGAACUGAAACACGGUCCAGACUCCUACGGGAGGCAGCAGUAGGGAAUCUUCCGCAAAGGGCGAAAGCCUGACGGAGCAACGCCGCGUGAGUGAUGAAGGUCUUCGGAUCGUAAAACUCUGUUAUUAGGGAAGAACAAAUGUGUAAGUAACUAUGCACGCCUUGACGGUACCUAAUCAGAAAGCCACGGCUAACUACGUG